UACGAAGGGGGCUAGCGUUGUUCGGAAUUACUGGGCGUAAAGCGUGCGCAGGCGGCUUCUCAAGUCAGGGGUGAAAGCCCAGAGCUCAACUCUGGAAUUGCCUUUGAGACUGAGUGGCUUGAGUACGAGAGAGGUGAGUGGAAUUCCCAGUGUAGAGGUGAAAUUCGUAGAUAUCAAGCAGAACACCUGCGGCGAAGGCGGCCUUCUGGACGAUGACUGACGCUGAGACGCGAAAGCGUGGGGAGCAAACAGG
rnacentral:rRNA from 1 species